GGGUAACGGCCCACCAAACCGACGAUCAGUAGCCGACCUGAGAGGGCGACCGGCCACAUUGGGACUGAGACACGGCCCAAACUCCUACGGGAGGCAGCAGUGGGGAAUAUUGCACAAUGGGGGAAACCCUGAUGCAGCGACGCCGCGUGAGCGAAGAAGUAUUUCGGUAUGUAAAGGUCUAUCAGCAAGGAAGAAGAGAGACGGUACUUGACUAAGAAGCCCCGGCUAACUAC
rnacentral:rRNA from 1 species